rnacentral:rRNA from 1 species
UACGGGGGGGGCAAGCGUUGUUCGGAAUUACUGGGCGUAAAGGGCUCGUAGGUGGCCAACUAAGUCAGACGUGAAAUCCCUCAGCUUAACUGGGGAACUGCGUCUGAUACUGGAUGGCUUGAGUUUGGGAGAGGGAUGCGGAAUUCCAGGUGUAGCGAUGAAAUGCGUAGAUAUCAGGAGGAACACCGGUGGCGAAGGCGGGUCUCUGGGCCGGAUACUGACGCUGAGGAGCGAAAGCGUGGGGAGCAAACAGG